CCAGGCUAGAGUGCAGUGGCAUAAUCACAGUUUACUGUAGCCUCCACUCCUGGGCUCGAGUGAUCCUCCCAUCUCAGCCUCCUGAGUAGCUGGGACUACAGGCAUGUGCCACCAUGCC